rnacentral:rRNA from 1 species
UACUGCCUACGGGGCGCAGCAGUAGGGAAUCUUCCACAAUGGGCGAAACCCUGAUGCAGCGACGCCGCGUGAGUGAAGAAGUAUUUCGGUAUGUAAAGCUCUAUCAGCAGGGAAGAUAAUGACGGUACCUGACUAAGAAGCCCCGGCUAACUACGUGCCAGCAGCCGCGGUAAUACGUAGGGGGCAAGCGUUAUCCGGAUUUACUGGGUGUAAAGGGUGCGUAGGUGGCAGGGCAAGUCAGAUGUGAAAGCCCGGGGCUCAACCCCGGUACUGCAUUUGAAACUGUCCAGCUGGAGUGCAGGAGG